rnacentral:tRNA from 1 species
UUAGUUAAAACCAAAAUAGAGGUACUUCACUGUUAAUGAAACCAUUGAACACAAGUUCUAACUAGA